rnacentral:rRNA from 1 species
UUGAGYUUGAUCMUGGCUCAGAUUGAACGCUGGCGGCAGGCCUAACACAUGCAAGUCGAGCGGCAGCACGAGAAAGCUUGCUUUCUUGGUGGCGAGCGGCGGACGGGUGAGUAACACAUGGGAAUCUGCCCGAUAGUGGGGGACAACGUUUCGAAAGGAACGCUAAUACCGCAUACGUCCUACGGGAGAAAGCAGGCUUAGGCUUGCGCUAUCGGAUGAGCCCAUGUCGGAUUAGCUUGUUGGUGAGGUAAUGGCUCACCAAGGCGACGAUCCGUAACUGGUCUGAGAGGAUGAUCAGUCACACCGGAACUGAGACACGGUCCGGACUCCUACGGGAGGCAGCAGUGGGGAAUAUUGGACAAUGGGGGCAACCCUGAUCCAGCCAUGCCGCGUGUGUGAAGAAGGCCUUCGGGUUGUAAAGCACUUUCAGCGAGGAGGAAAGCAGUAAGGUUAAUACCCUUAUU